GGGGGUUGUUUCCAGAAGACCCUCGGCUCAAGUGCAUCAAACCUUCACAUGAUGGUAGAAUAUAGUCAAUCUAGAUUCUACGAAUGAAAAGUCAAAAUGCAGCCUAAGAUUAAGGAGAAAGCAACACAAAUUCAUAAUCUAAAGCCAUUCUUCGAUAUCUUUUACCUAACAAGAUUAAUACAGUUGAAAGUUUUUAGUUCUAUGAUUUCUCUGAUUACCAACUUGUCGAGGACAAUAGAUCAAAUUCAAAGCAGAAUUGCAAG
rnacentral:misc_RNA from 1 species